rnacentral:rRNA from 1 species
UACAGAGGGUGCGAGCGUUUAAUCGGAAUUACUGGGCGUAAAGCGCACGUAGGUGGCGACGUAAGUCGGGUGUGAAAGCCCCGGGCUCAACCUGGGAAUUGCAUUCGAGACUGCAUUGCUGGAGUACAGAAGAGGAGGGCGGAAUUCCCGGUGUAGCGGUGAAAUGCGUAGAUAUCGGGAGGAACAUCAGUGGCGAAGGCGGCCCUCUGGUCCAGUACUGACACUCAAGUGCGAAAGCGUGGGG